GGCGUGGUGGCCUAAUGGCUAAGGCUUCUGUUUCCGGUGCUUAUAAACCGAACUACAGAGGAUUGUGGGUUCGAGUCCCAUCCGCGUCG